rnacentral:rRNA from 1 species
CCUACGGGCGGCAGCAGUGGGGAAUAUUGGACAAUGGGGGCAACCCUGAUCCAGCCAUGCCGCGUGUGUGAAGAAGGCCCUCGGGUUGUAAAGCACUUUCAGUGAGGAAGAACGCCUGGUGGUUAAUACCCAUCAGGAAAGACAUCACUCACAGAAGAAGCACCGGCUAACUCCGUGCCAGCAGCCGCGGUAAUACGGAGGGUGCGAGCGUUAAUCGGAAUUACUGGGCGUAAAGCGCGCGUAGGUGGCUUGAUAAGCCGGUUGUGAAAGCCCCGGGCCCAACCUGGGAACGGCAUCCGGUACUGUCAAGCUAGAGUGCAGGAGAGGAAGGUAGAAUUCCCGGUGUAGCGGUGAAAUGCGUAGAGAUCGGGAGGAAUACCAGUGGCGAAGGCGGCCUUCUGGACUGACACUGACGCUGAGGUGCGAAAGCGUGGGUAGCAAACAGGAUUAGAUACCCUUGUAGUC